rnacentral:rRNA from 1 species
GACGAACGCUGGCGGCGUGCUUAACACAUGCAAGUCGAGCGGUAAGGCCCUUUCGGGGGUACACGAGCGGCGAACGGGUGAGUAACACGUGGGUGACCUGCCCUCAGCUCUGGGAUAAGCCUGGGAAACCGGGUCUAAUACCGGAUAUGACUCCAUGACACAUGUUGUGGGGUGGAAAGCCUUGUGCGGCUGAGGAUGGGCCCGCGGCCUAUCAGCUUGUUGGUGGGGUGAUGGCCUACCAAGGCGACGACGGGUAGCCGGCCUGAGAGGGCGACCGGCCACACUGGGACUGAGACACGGCCCAGACUCCUACGGGAGGCAGCAGUGGGGAAUCUUGCGCAAUGGGCGAAAGCCUGACGCAGCGACGCCGCGUGAGGGAUGACGGCCUGGUGUAACGUACUUCUAG